rnacentral:rRNA from 1 species
GAUGAACGCUGGCGGCGUGCCUAACACAUGCAAGUCGAGCGAACGGACGAGAAGCUUGCUUCUCUGUUGUUAGCGGCGGACGGGUGAGUAACACGUGGAUAACCUACCUAUAAGACUGGGAUCACUUCGGGAAACCGGAGCUAAUACCGGAUAAUAUUUUGAACCGCAUGGUUCAAAAGUGAAAGACGGUCUUGCUGUCACUUAUAGAUGGUUCCGCGCUGCAUUAGCUAGUUGGUAGGGUAACGGCUUACCAAGGCAACGAUGCGUAGCCGACUUGAGAGGGUGGUAGGCGCCCCGGGAGGUGAGCCGGGGUCCAGGGGCCUGCGGGAGGGACCAGUAGGGAACGGUCGGCAAUAGGGGAAAACCUGGCGGAGUGAGGCGGAGUGAGUGAUGAAGGUGUUGGGAUCGUGAAGCUCUGUUAUUGGUGGUGAACAUCUGUGUAAGGAAAUGUGCAGAGCUUGACGGUACCGAGUAAGAAAGCAACGGCUAACUACGUG